AGAGAGGAGCUUGCUCUUCUUGGAUGAGUUGCGAACGGGUGAGUAACGCGUAGGUAACCUGCCUUGUAGCGGGGGAUAACUAUUGGAAACGAUAGCUAAUACCGCAUAACAAUGGAUGACACAUGUCAUUUAUUUGAAAGGGGCAAUUGCUCCACUACAAGAUGGACCUGCGUUGUAUUAGCUAGUAGGUGAGGUAAUGGCUCACCUAGGCGACGAUACAUAGCCGACCUGAGAGGGUGAUCGGCCACACUGGGACUGAGACACGGCCCAGACUCCUACGGGAGGCAGCAGUAGGGAAUCUUCGGCAAUGGGGGCAACCCUGACCGAGCAACGCCGCGUGAGUGAAGAAGGUUUUCGGAUCGUAAAGCUCUGUUGUAAGUCAAGAACGGGUGUGAGAGUGGAAAGUUCACACUGUGACGGUAGCUUACCAGAAAGGGACGGCUAACUACGUGCCAGCAGCCGCGGUAAUACGUAGGUCCCGAGCGUUGUCCGGAUUUAUUGGGCGUAAAGCGAGCGCAGGCGGUUUGAUAAGUCUGAAGUUAAAGGCUGUGGCUCAACCAUAGUUCGCUUUGGAAACUGUCAAACUUGAGUGCAGAAGGGGAGAGUGGAAUUCCAUGUGUAGCGGUGAAAUGCGUAGAUAUAUGGAGGAACACCGGUGGCGAAAGCGGCUCUCUGGUCUGUAACUGACGCUGAGGCUCGAAAGCGUGGGGAGCGAACAGGAUUAGAUACCCUGGUAGUCCACGC
rnacentral:rRNA from 1 species